rnacentral:tRNA from 1 species
GUUAGUAUGGCAGAAACAGGCUAUGCAAAAGAUCUAAACUCUUUCUAUAAGGGUUCAAAUCCCCUCAAUAACU